AUUGAAUGCCUUUGCUACCUUAUUUUUAAGAAAUGGAUUUUGUUGGUUGUCCCAAACUGUACAAACGAGUGGUUUGUCAAGCUUCCUGAAUUAUUAUUUUAAUCACUUUUUUGUUUAUGCAUUCCCUUUUUUGUCUUGUGUCAGGCACCUAUAUGGAUGUAAAUCAUCAUGCUUUUGAUAUUUAUUAGGGGGUAUAUGAUUCCGAGACUGCUGCUCAUGUCUUGUCGCACAGGGCACAUCGUGCUUGUGAACAGAGGUAUGACUAGUGUUGGCAUUUCAUUAGAAUAAAUGUUCACAGCCUUAUUCUUGUUUGUUCACUGAUCAUAGUUCAGAUGACAAAUGCAAGAAUCAAAUUCCAUCCUCUUUCAUUGUCACAAGUAAUUCUUUGAGGAGGAAGAGUUUCGUGUUGAUCCGCGUAGUGCAUUGAAUCUUAGACUUUGUGAUGUAUUGGAUAUUUAUAAGAGUUUGGAAAUGGAAUAUAUCAAUAUAAACAAUGCACACAACUUUUAUUUAGUCAGA